UCCGUAGGUGAACCUGCGGAAGGAUCAUUGCUAAGUGAGUAUGGUUUAUGAGGUUUGGUUGUUAUGACCGAAUACUUGUACACUUUACAUUUACGCGUUUUUUGUAUGACAGAUUAAUCCAGAGAAACAUCGACAACUUUUAACAAUGGAUCUCUUGGCUCUUGCAACGAUGAAGAACGCAGUCAAGUGCGAAAUUAAAUGCGAUUUGCAUGAAUCUGUGAGUCAUCAUGUCUUUGAACGCAACUUGCGCCAAGUAAAACUGGCAUGUCCAUCUGAGCGCCGUCCAAACCUUUGAGAUUGAGACUUUGGUCUUGGUCCCAUGCAUUGCUGGGCGUGAAGCCUGGUUAAAAAAGGAUAUUCUGUUCAUAGGAAUGUGUUAGAGGCACUUUUGAGAUGCGAGUCUCUUUAUCGUCCUUCUCAUUCCCAGAACAAUGGGUGUGGUGUGCAUGUGUAUGGUGAUAACAUCAAAAUACAUUAAACGCACAAAACCCCCUAAUAAUCUGGCCUGCAGAUUGGGCAGGAUUACCCGCUGAACUUAA
rnacentral:rRNA from 1 species